AACGAACGCUGGCGGCAUGCCUAACACAUACAAGUCGAACGAGACCUUCGGGUCUAGUGGCGCACGGGUGCGUAACGCGUGGGAACCUGCCCUUAGGUUCGGAAUAACUCCCCGAAAGGGGUGCUAAUACCGGAUAAUGUCUUCGGACCAAAGAUUUAUCGCCUUUGGAUGGGCCCGCGUUGGAUUAGCUAGUUGGUAGGGUAAAAGCCUACCAAGGCGACGAUCCAUAGCUGGUCUGAGAGGAUGAUCAGCCACACUGGGACUGAGACACGGCCCAGACUCCUACGGGAGGCAGCAGUAGGGAAUAUUGGACAAUGGGCGAAAGCCUGAUCCAGCAAUGCCGCGUGAGUGAUGAAGGCCUUAGGGUUGUAAAGCUCUUUUACCCGGGAUGAUAAUGACAGUACCGGGAGAAUAAGCUCCGGCUAACUCCGUG
rnacentral:rRNA from 1 species